rnacentral:tRNA from 1 species
GGGUGGGUGACUCAGUGGUUAGAGCCUAAGGCUCGUAACCGAAAGGUUCCGAGUUCGAACCUCCCAAGAGGCA